rnacentral:rRNA from 1 species
UACGUAGGCAGCAAGCGUUGUUCGGAAUUACUGGGCGUAAAGAGUGUGUAGGCGGUGCUCUAAGUUUGGUGUGAAAUCUCCCGGCUCAACUGGGAGGUGCGCCGAAACUGGAAUGCUUGAACAUGGGAGAGGAAAGCGGAAUUCCUGGUGUAGCGGUGAAAUGCGUAGAUAUCAGGAGGAACACCUGCGGUGUAGACGGCUUUCUGGACCAUUGUUGACGCUGAGACACGAAAGCGUGGGUAGCAAACAGG